UACAUGUGGGGCAAGCGUUGUUCGGAAUUACUGGGCAUAAAGGGUGCGUAGGUGUCUUGUUAAGUCAGGGGUGAAAGUUUUCGGCCCAACCGGAAAAUGGCCUUUGAUACUGGCGAGCUCGAGUGCGUGAGGGGUAACCGGAACGAGCAGUGUAGCGGUGAAAUGCGUAGAUAUUGCUCGGAAGGCCAACGGCGAAGGCAGGUUACUGGUACGCAACUGACACUGAGGCACGAAAGCGCGGGGAGCAAACAGG
rnacentral:rRNA from 1 species